GACGAACGCUGGCGGCGUGCUUAACACAUGCAAGUCGAACGGAAAGGCCCUGCUUUUGUUGGGUGCUCGAUUGGCGAACGGGUGAGUAACACGUGAGUAACCUGCCCUUGACUUUGUGGUAACUUCAGGAAACUGGGGCUAAUACCGGGUAUGAUCUCCUGCUGCAUGGUGGUGGUUGGAAAGUUCCGGCGGUUGGGGAUGGACUCGCGGCUUAUCAGCUUGUUUGUGGGGUAGUGGCUUACCAGGGCUUUGACGGGUAGCCGGCCUGAGAGGGUGACCGGCGACAUUGGGACUGCGAUACGGCCCAGACGCCUACGGGAGGCAGCAGUGGGGAAUAUUGCACAAUGGGCGGAAGCCUGAUGCAGAAACGCCGCGUGCGGGAUGACGGCCUUCGGGUUGUAAACAGAUUUCGACUGUGCCGAAGAGUGAGUGACGGUAAUGGGUAAAGAAGCCACGGCUAACUACGUG
rnacentral:rRNA from 1 species